AACGAACGCUGGCGGCGCGUCUUAAGCAUGCAAGUCGGGCGGCAAGGGCAGCAAUGCCCCUAGAGCGGCGGACUGGUGAGUAACGCGUGGGUGAUCUACCUUUGGGUUGGGGAUAGCCAUUAGAAAUAGUGGGUAAUACCGAAUACGGUUGCCGGACCAUGGUCUGGCAAAGAAGGAGCUACGGCUCCGCCCGGAGAUGAGCCCGCGUCCCAUUAGCUAGUUGGGGGUGUAACGGACCACCAAGGCGAUGAUGGGUAGCCGGACUGAGAGGUUGAACGGCCACACUGGGACUGAGAUACGGCCCAGACUCCUACGGGAGGCUG
rnacentral:rRNA from 1 species